GACGAACGCUGGCGGCGUGCUUAACACAUGCAAGUCGAACGGAAAGGCCCUGCUUUUGUGGGGUGCUCGAGUGGCGAACGGGUGAGUAACACGUGAGUAACCUGCCCUUGACUUUGGGAUAACUUCAGGAAACUGGGGCUAAUCCCGGAUAGGAGCUCCUGCUGCAGGGUGGGGGUUGGAAGGUUUCGGCGGUGGGGGAUGGGCUCGCGGCUUAUCAGCUUGUUGGUGGGGUAGUGGCUUACCAAGGCUUUGACGGGUAGCCGGCCUGAGAGGGUGACCGGCCACAUUGGGACUGAGAUACGGCCCAGACUCCUACGGGAGGCAGCAGUGGGGAAUAUUGCACAAUGGGCGGAAGCCUGAUGCAGCAACGCCGCGUGCGGGAUGACGGCCUUCGGGUUGUAAACCGCUUUCGCCUGUGACGAAGCGUGAGUGACGGUAAUGGGUAAAGAAGCACCGGCUAACUACGUG
rnacentral:rRNA from 1 species